AACGAACGCUGGCGGCAGGCUUAACACAUGCAAGUCGAGCGCCCCGCAAGGGGAGCGGCAGACGGGUGAGUAACGCGUGGGAACAUACCCUUUGGUUCGGAAUAACUCAGGGAAACUUGAGCUAAUACCGGAUACGUCCGUAAGGAGAAAGAUUUAUCGCCAAAGGAUUGGCCCGCGUCCGAUUAGCUAGUUGGUGAGGUAACGGCUCACCAAGGCUACGAUCGGUAGCUGGUCUGAGAGGAUGAUCAGCCACAUUGGGACUGAGACACGGCCCAAACUCCUACGGGAGGCAGCAGUGGGGAAUAUUGGACAAUGGGCGCAAGCCUGAUCCAGCCAUGCCGCGUGAGUGAUGAAGGCCUUAGGGUUGUAAAGCUCUUUGUCCGGGAAGGAUAAUGACUGUACCGGAAGAAUAAGCCCCGGCUAACUUCGUGCCAGCAGCCGCGGUAAAGUGACUACUG
rnacentral:rRNA from 1 species